rnacentral:tRNA from 1 species
GGAUAUAGCUCAGUGGUAGAGCGUUUGCCUAGCAUGCAUGAGGCGCUGGGUUCGAUUCCCACUACCA